GACGAACGCUGGCGGCGUGCUUAACACAUGCAAGUCGAACGGUAAGGCUCCAGCUUGCUGGGGUACACGAGUGGCGAACGGGUGAGUAACACGUGGGUGACCUGCCCUGCACUUCGGGAUAAGCCUGGGAAACUGGGUCUAAUACCGGAUAGGACCGCACCGUGAGAGUGUGGUGGAAAGUUUUUUCGGUGUGGGAUGGGCCCGCGGCCUAUCAGCUUGUUGGUGGGGUAAUGGCCUACCAAGGCGGCGACGGGUAGCCGGCCUGAGAGGGUGGACGGCCACAUUGGGACUGAGACACGGCCCAGACUCCUACGGGAGGCAGCAGUGGGGAAUAUUGCACAAUGGGCGGAAGCCUGAUGCAGCGACGCCGCGUGGGGGAUGACGGCCUUCGGGUUGUAAACUCCUUUCACCAUCGACGAAGGGUUUCUGACGGUAGAUGGAGAAGAAGCACCGGCUAACUACGUGCCAGCAGCCGCGGUAAUACGUAGGGUGCGAGCGUUGUCCGGAAUUACUGGGCGUAAAGAGCUCGUAGGUGGUUUGUCGCGUCGUCUGUGAAUUCCGGGGCUUAACUCCGGGCGUGCAGGCGAUACGGGCAUAACUUGAGUACUGUAGGGGAGACUGGAAUUCCUGGUGUAGCGGUGAAAUGCGCAGAUAUCAGGAGGAACACCGGUGGCGAAGGCGGGUCUCUGGGCAGUAACUGACGCUGAGGAGCGAAAGCAUGGGGAGCGAACAGGAUUAGAUACCCUGGUAGUCCAUGCCGUAAACGGUGGGCGCUAGGUGUGGGUUUCCUUCCACGGGAUCCGUGCCGUAGCUAACGCAUUAAGCGCCCCGCCUGGGGAGUACGGCCGCAAGGCUAAAACUCAAAGGAAUUGACGGGGGCCCGCACAAGCGGCGGAGCAUGUGGAUUAAUUCGAUGCAACGCGAAGAACCUUACCUGGGCUUGACAUAUACAGGAUCGCGCCAGAGAUGGUGUUUCCCUUGUGGCUUGUAUACAGGUGGUGCAUGGUUGUCGUCAGCUCGUGUCGUGAGAUGUUGGGUUAAGUCCCGCAACGAGCGCAACCCUUGUCUUAUGUUGCCAGCACGUUGUGGUGGGGACUCGUAAGAAACUGCCGGGGUUAACUCGGAGGAAGGUGGGGAUGACGUCAAAUCAUCAUGCCCCUUAUGUCCAGGGCUUCACACAUGCUACAAUGGUCGGUACAGUGGGUUGCCAGUCCGUGAGGGCGAGCUAAUCCCGCAAAGCCGGUCUCAGUUCGGAUCGGGGUCUGCAACUCGACCCCGUGAAGUCGGAGUCGCUAGUAAUCGCAGAUCAGCAACGCUGCGGUGAAUACGUUCCCGGGCCU
rnacentral:rRNA from 1 species